rnacentral:tRNA from 1 species
GCGGACGUGGCGGAAUGGCAGACGCGCGAGGCUUAGGACCUCGUGGGGAAACUCAUGGGGGUUCAAAUCCCUCCGUCCGCA